rnacentral:rRNA from 1 species
UACGUAGGGUGCAAGCGUUAAUCGGAAUUACUGGGCGUAAAGCGCGCGUAGGCGGCUUUGCAAGUCGGGUGUGAAAUCCCCGGGCUCAACCUGGGAACUGCAUUUGUGACUGCAUGGCUAGAGUACGGUAGAGGGGGAUGGAAUUCCGCGUGUAGCAGUGAAAUGCGUAGAUAUGCGGAGGAACACCGAUGGCGAAGGCAAUCCCCUGGACCUGUACUGACGCUCAUGCACGAAAGCGUGGGGAGCAAACAGG